ACGACAAGAAGGCUUCCUAGAGGUUCCCAGAACACGCUGCCGAGAGCCGCUCUUCCCCUUCUCGCCCUUCGUGUUCCUGAGGUCGCGUCUCGUGUUCUCCCGCGCUGCAUGGCGGGAUGGCCGAGCGGGGCUGAGCGCCUCCGCCACAGCGCCCCCUUCCGGCCUGUCAGCCUUCCUUCCGCACCUCCCCCCCCUUCUCCUUCUCCAUCCAUCCUCUCAGGUUCCAAGAUGGCGGCUGCGGCUGCGGCUCCCCCAUCCCCUCCUCCUCCUCCUCCCCCGCCUGCCGCCCCGCCGACGGAGGGCCCGUCCUGUCCCGGUUCGUGGCCCAACUUCGCCGUCGUCUGCUCCUUCCUGGAGAGAUACGGAGCCCUCCUCGACCUGCCCGAGCUGCCCUUUCCGGAGCUGGAGCGAGUCCUGCAGCCGCCGCAGGAGCCCGGCGAGCAGGUUCCCAGAGAACUGGUAGAACUUCAUCUGAAACUGAUGAGAAAGAUUGGGAAAUCUGUCACAGCAGACCGAUGGGAAAAAUACUUGAUCAAGAUGUGUCAAGAAUUCAACAGCACCUGGGCAUGGGAAAUGGAGAAGAAAGGGUACUUUGAAAUGAGCAUUGAAUGCAAGUUGGGAAUAUUGAAGUACCUUUGUGAGUGCCAGUUUGAUGACAAUCUAAAAUUUAAGAACAUCAUUAACGAGGAAGAUGCAGAUGCUAUGCGCCUUCAGCCGAUUGGCAGAGACAAAGACGGCCUGACAUACUGGUACCAGCUGGAUCAAGAUCAUAACAUUAGGAUGUAUGUUGAAGAGCAGGAUGAUCAAGAUGGGUCUUCAUGGAAGUGCAUUGUCAGAAGCCGUAACGAACUGGCUGAAACUCUUGAACUUCUCAAAGCACAAAUUGAUCCUGCGCUAUUAAAAAAGCAGCAACAGGAUAGCUCAUCGCGAGAAAGCCCUAGUAUUGAAGGUGAAGAGGCCAAAAAGGGUGAAGAAACGUCAGCCCAAGAAAGUGAUUUGAAGGUGAAAGAAGAAAAAAAGGAGAUAAAAGAGGAGCAGCAGCCAAAGCAGUUGGAAACCCUCCCACUUCCCGCAGUUUCAGAAGAGGAAAACAAGAUCAAAUUAGAAAAAGUGCAGGACAGAGAAAUCAUAAAGCUGCCAGUUAUAGUAAAGUUAGAUAAACUUUCAGAAAACAAUGGGGAAAUGCAGAUUACCAAAGAAGAAAGUGACUCUUUUAAAGAAAACGUUAAACCUGUUAAAGCAGAAGUGAAGCUAGAGCCAAAAGACUUGAAAGAUGUAAAUAGCAACACAGCGAAAACUGUUCAUGAGCAUGAGAGGAUAGAGUUCUGUGUCAGUGUCAAAACUCCCCAGGAAAUUGUGGAGAGAACUGCGGAAGAAAGUGAGAAACUUAAAAAUGACCAGCAGGCAAAAAUCCCACUGAAAAAGCGAGAGAUUAAACUGACCGAUGAUUAUGACAGUCCAUUAAAAGGGACCUUGCGAAAAUGUAUUACCCCAACAAAGGAUGUUUUGAAGGAAGAAGGGAAGCAAGAGGAGGAGACAUUUAAGAGAGUCCCUACAAUUACUGAUGGGAAACUUCUUGUAAAUGGGGAGGUUAGUAGUGAGAAAAUCAUGCCAAAUAACAAGUUGGAACAUUCCUCCAGCACAAAGGAAGAUACUCCCAGCCUGCCUAAGGAGAAAAAUGGCAUAAGUGGGGAGAAAACAGUAGAGACUGUUAGCGCAAUAGUAAGAACAACUGAGGUUGAAAGUAGUUUGCAUACAGGGAAGGAGGUAGCGGUUGUGAUAGCCGAUGUGCCUUUAAAGGAGGAAAACAGUCGUAAAGGAAAGGAAAACUUGCUGGACAGUGUAGAAGCACCUUCAAAAAUGGAUGAUUUUCUUCAGAAGCCUGAAGAAUCCAUGAAAGCAAAAGAUGGCCUGCCACCUCCCAAGGAAUGUUUAGAUAAAUCCUUAAAGGCACCUUCCCCAAAGGAGCUGGUUACUCCAGCAGUUGAAGAGGGUCUGAAAAAUAAAGUUGAGCCAAGAGAGAAACCGGAUUUGCCAAGAGUGGAUGUGACUCCACCGCCUGCUCCAGCCCUUCUCUCUGAGAAAUCUGUUCCUGAAAGAGAGGACUCUGGCGCUAAAAGCACACUCCCCAAUAAAAGCAAAAUACAAGAAGGGCAGGAUUCUAAGCCACAGAAGGGCUCUGACGUUGAAGGGAGCGAAACACUCAAACCAGGAAAUGCCCAAAGUUCUGUCGAGGAAACUUCUGAGACUAAAAAAGAGCCUGUGAAAAGUAAGUGUAAAUACAAGCUGAUUUCUGAAGAAGAAAGUUCUCUAACGGAGAAUAGGGAAAUAACCUCUGAGAGGCAGAAAGAUGGGAUCAAGCUCACAAUCAGAAUCUCAAGCAGAAAGAAAACUGAUCCUCCUCCAAAGACACAGAAUGCAGCAGCUGAAAAGGAGGAAGAGGCAGCCGUCAACGUUGGUCGCAUUUUACGGAGAUCUCCCCGGAUAUCUAAACCUACUCCCAAAAUAGUCGAGACCCGAGAUCAGAAGCCUGAGAAAAAACGAAAUGAGGAAGAGGAAGCGAGAGAGAAACCAGUGCAGAAGCAGGAGAAGAAAGAAGACUCAAAAAAGCAAGAGAAAGAAAUGAAUUCUAAGGCCAGCAAGGCUUCCCAGCGAAGUAAAGUUCGGUGGGCAGGUACUCGAACUCGUGGCAGGUGGAAAUACUCGAGCAAUGAUGAGAGUGAGGAUUCAGAGAGUGAAGAAGACUCGGAAGAGGAAGAGGAGGAAGAAGAACCUGCACCUGCUGAUGACGAUGAGCCAUGCAAGAAGUGUGGCCUCCCCAAUCACCCAGAGCUAAUUCUCCUGUGCGACUCUUGUGACAGCGGCUACCACACAGCGUGUCUUCGACCCCCACUGAUGAUCAUUCCCGAUGGAGAGUGGUUCUGCCCACCUUGCCAACAUAAAUUGCUCUGUGAGAAGUUGGAAGAACAGCUGCAGGACCUGGAUGUUGUCUUGAAAAAGAAAGAGCGUGCUGAACGAAGGAAAGAACGCCUUGUGUAUGUGGGUAUUAGUAUCGAGAACAUCAUUCCUCCACGAGAGCCUGAAAUACCUGAAAGUGUGGACGAAAAGAAGAAAGAUUCCAAAAAAUCAAAAGCAAAGCUGCUUGAAAGGAGGUCAACUAGGCAACGGAAGUGCAUCAGCUACAGGUUUGAUGAGUUUGAUGAAGCCAUUGAUGAAGCCAUAGAGGAUGACAUCAAGGAGGCUGAUGGAGGAGGAGGCGGGAGAGGGAAAGACAUGUCUAACAUCACAGGGCAUCGUGGGAAGGAUAUUUCCACCAUCCUGGAGGAAGAAAGGAAGGAAAGCAAGCGGCCUCUGAGGGCUGUUGCAGUUCGCCGAAAGAAAAGGCGGCGUCUGAAUGACCUGGACAGUGACAGCAACCUGGAUGAAGAGGAGAGUGAGGAUGAGUUCAGAAUCAGCGAAGGAUCACAAGAUGAAUUUGUGGUUUCGGACGAAAACGUAGAUGAAAGUGAAGAGGAUCAGCCAUCAAAUGACGAUAGCGAUACAGAGUUUUCCAGGCGUAGGCCCAGGCGGCACCAUUCGAGGCCAAUGAGGCAAAGCAGACGACUACGGAGAAAAACAGUCAAGAAAAGAUACUCUGAAGAUGACGAAGAUGAGGACUCUGAGGAUAAUGUAAGCGGUGAUUCUGAAAGUGAUGCUUCUUCGGAUUACAGCGACGAAGAUUACCUAGAAACAAGGCGGAGAAGAUCUCGGCGCAAUCAGAAGAGACAGGUCAACUACAAAGAAGAUUCUGAAAGCGAGGGCUCUCAGAAAAGCUUCCGAUAUGGGAAAGAGCUGAGAAGAAUUCAUAAGCGCAGGCUUUCCAGUUCAGACAGUGAAGAGAGCUACGUGGAUAAGGACUCUGAAGAUGAUAAACCCGGCAAGGCGUCGGAGAGAUCUGUUCGGAAACGCAGUCACAGCACGGAUGAGUACUCGGAAGGCGAGGACGGAGACAAGGAAGGGCGGCCCAUUCGAAAGCGUCUGAAUCGGAUCGAAACAGAUGAGGAAGACAAUUGCGGCAAUGCCAACAACGAUGCAAGCAAGCCUGUGCCUGCCAGCAAGCCCUUGGUGCCCCAUGGCCCACAAGACAUCACCAAGAAGCCCUGCUACCGGAUAGAAAGUGAUGAUGAAGAUGACUUUGAUAAUGUUGGGAAGGUAGAAAGCCCAUUGGACUACAGCCUGGUGGAUUUGCCAUCCACCAACGGACAGAGCCCUGGGAAAACUAUUGAGAAUUUGAUCGGCAAGUCUAGCGAGAAGACUUCCGCCCCCAAGGACAGCACAGCCAAUGCCAGCUUGGCGCCUAAUGGGACAAGUGGUGGCCAGGAGGCAGUAGGGCCGGAAGAAGAUGAGGACGAACUUUUGCGAGUGACUGACCUUGUUGAUUACGUCUGUAACAGUGAACAGUUAUAAGACUUCCAUUUUUGUGCUAAUUUAUUCCACGGUAGCUCAUACCAGCGGGCCAGUUAUUAAAAGGUGUUUUAUUUUUCCUAGAAAACUCUCCACUACAGUAUCACUUUUUAGCAGUCAAAAUUUCACCAGUCCUGCAGUUUUGGGAUUGCAUGCAUGUUGGUGAAUCUUUGCCCCAAGAGAACUGGGUACGUAUUCUGGGUGAAACAGCAGAGGGAGAAGCAUUACUGGAUCAAGCAGUGGUGGGGCUCACUGUGGCUCUUUUACUUCCUGUUCUGUUUGGUACACUUGGGCAGACUAACCUCGCUACUAAACUGGUCUGAGGGAGUGAUGCUUAUUCCACUGGAAAAAAAACACCAAUAGGCCUUUGCUGUUGCCUUGUCAUGCAACUGUGAGAGGCAAGUAACUUUUUUCUUAAAACAGUACUGAAGUUUUGACAUGAUAGCAAAGUAAGCCCCCAAAGAAAUGUCCUUCCAUUUUGUUUCCCUUUUUGCUACUAAACAAAUCUUGUUCAAGCAUUUUAUGCUAUGUGAAUUAAAAUACUGUUUAUUUCCCUAACAUAGAUUAAAACUUUUGUUUGGGUACGGGACAGGGGAUGACAGUAAGUUUGCCAGUUUCAUAGCUAUGUUCUAGCUAAGAUGGCUGAUUGUAUAAUGGCAUCCUUUGGGCCUGUUCUACACUGUUCAGUAGGUCUUAUACAAAUAUUUCCUAAGCCAGGGGUGAGAAACAUGUUGUGGGACACCAGCUCCUGUCAGUCCUAGCUGGCAUGAUCACUGGUCACGGAUUAUGGAAAUUGUAAUCCAACAAUGUCUGGAGGGCCACAUAUUUCCCAUCUUUGUGCUAGAUGAACUGUUUUGACAGUUUUAUUUAAAAAAAAACUAGAUCAAGCUUUUUGGAUAAGGGUUGCAAUCUGCACAGUACUGCUUGUGUUCAAUCCGCAUCCAUUUCGGUGGUACUUUCACAAGCAGCAGUACUUGUUGGUUGCACCUAUGGGACAGUUUCUCAUACUUUACCAUGCCUGAUCCUCUUCCCUGUGGGGAAAGUGUGCGCCCCGUUUCCACGGUGCAUGUCGUAUACUGUCUGGUGUAGGUGCUUCACUUGUACAGUGGAGGAGGUUUCAAUUUGCACAGUCCCCUUUUCUUUUGAGGAAGAACUUUACAAACUGGGCUCCUGCAAAUGUUACAUGAUAUGUGUGGUGGCGUAGCUCUCAGGCCUGCCGUUUGUAUCUUGAGCAGCCUGGCAAGAAAUGUUCUAGUGUAGGACUGUUUCCCUGUCUUUUAAAAUUAGAGCCUUCUAAAUCUGACCUUCACCAUUGAUUCAGAUUCCCGCACUUCUGCCCCCCCCAACAUACAAUUCUUAUGUCUUUGAUUCUGCCAAGACUGCUCUCUGAUGUCAGCAGUGCACUGACACUGAGCAAUGGCAGCAACAGCCUUUGGGAACAGAAAAGCAAGUUCAGCACAUCCUUGUGCAUGGGAGCAACCAUGAUGGGUGCAUAGCUGGAGGUUUCCUUUUUCAAUUUUUCAUCUCUUUUUUCAUUCUCUAUAAAAGUAAUAUUUGUAAGGGUUUUUUUAAAAAGAUGGUCAGGUUCAUAAAGCCCUUGUACAACAUGUUUCCUCAACCUUGCUUUUUAAAAAGAUGAAAUCAUGGAUUGGUUCCAUUUUGAAGGGAAUGAAUACUGUGGAUUUUCUGUGUGAUCUGUACAUUUUAAGCUGCUUCAUACAUAAUGCUGUUUUGCACAGGGAUAAUCUCCAUGUAUAACAAGUUCACAUAGUCACUCCAGAAGUUGAUGUUUCUUUCUUUGGUCAGAAUAGACAGACUGGGAAACCGAUGUGCAGUUUCUAGUCAGUGCAUUCAUGACAGAAUCUGCAUUGCACUUCAGAAGUGAUGGUGUACACAUUUUUUCCUAUGUGGAGAUUAUUUCCAUGCUUUUUUAAAAAUGUUGCAUAUGAAGUGGCCAUUGAGAGGGAGAAGAAAAUACCUUGGGGAAAGAACUGGAAAUGUCUUCAUUGUUGUACAUAAAUUCUGGGUUGCUUUCUCACUUUUCUCUUAUCAUUUCCUUCCCUACACCAGUAAAUUCACUUGCAUGGAAAACUUUUAACUUGAAAUGGAGAGUCCUAGUGCCCUCAGCGCUCAAAGUGGUUAACUGCAGUUGACUAACAGCUGGUGUUUUUAGCUUUGCAGUACAUGACUGUUUAAAUACUGUAUUCCUUGUAAAUGAAGUUUAAAAAAAAUGUUACGGCUGGUGCCAAUAUUUUUGUUAAUGAAAUGUUCAAUGUCGUCUCACUACGGUCUGGUCAGAGCUCUUUGUGUAUAAGCUGGGCCUGCAGCCUUUUUAUAGCUUGGAGGCCUAAUUGUGUAACUUUUUUUCUUUCAUAAUGUUUUUGUUUAUAAUAUCUACUGUCAUUUCUUUCAUAUAAAUAUGACAUGUAAAUUGUCAUAAUAAAAACCCAUUUAAAUAAGUUUACGUACAGAGAACGUGUCGGAGAAGCCACAUCUUACUAUGGAAGAAGGCGAGCUCCACAAUGAUAUUGUUAAUCAAAUUUGCAGAUGAUCCUAAUGUGGGAGGGACUGUAUAUAUUAAAAAGGGAUAGAUUAAUAAGUAGCUAUUUUUUUAAAAAAAACGAGCUUGACAGACGCAACAGAAGGACAUUCAACAGGCAAAUGUAAACAAUUGUAUGUGUAUGUAAGAACUAAAAUGUGCAAGCUAUGUAAGGUUUGAAGCAGGCAUUUGGGACUUCCAAGGGAUUUUAGUUACAUAAAGCAGUAGUUGCUAAUUGGCGGUUUGUAAAGUAGGUCCAGCUUGUGCAA